UACGUAGGCAGCAAGCGUUGUUUGGAAUUACUGGGCGUAAAGAGUGUGUAGGCGGUGCUCUAAGUUCGGUGUGAAAUCUCCCGGCUCAACUGGGAGGGUGCGCCGGAAACUGGAGUGCUGGAGCGCGGGAGAGGAAAGCGGAAUUCCUGGUGUAGCGGUGAAAUGCGUAGAUAUCAGGAGGAACACCGGCGGUGUAGACGGCUUUCUGGACCGUAGCUGACGCUGAGACACGAAAGACGUGGGUAGCAAACAGG
rnacentral:rRNA from 1 species